rnacentral:tRNA from 1 species
GGGCCUAUAGCUCAGUUGGCUAGAGCGUCCGCCUGAUAAGCGGGAGGCCAGUGGUUCGAAUCCACUUAGGCCCA